rnacentral:lncRNA from 1 species
AGCACUACCGUGAAUGAAUGAGUGUUUUCCCGUUAACGAGACAGUUAUCACAAAUCAAGAAAAUAUCCCUCAUCCCCAGAAUGUUUAUGGUAAUGGAAAAAAUUUCUCGGUAGUUCCGGCAAUUGCCCAUUACAUCAUCUCUCGAACCCGGAAAUAUAUCCCCCAUCUCCGGAAUUUUCUCGGUUAUCUGGGAAACUUUCCUCAUAGUUUUCAGGAAAAUGUGCCUCUCUGAAAGUCAUUUACCUAAGCCGUAAGUUUCUUGCAAAAUCAUGCUUUGGGAAUUAAUUUUAGAUAAAAUUUCAAUUACGGCUUUCAGAAAGUUCCGGGUUUCAAGGAUUCCGGCUAACGGAGAAGGCUGCUGUUCCUACCAGAAAUCAGUUUCAAAUGCGAAUUGAUCCAGUAACACUUGGACCUCAUUUUCCAGUUACCCUGCAAUGGAUCUUGUUGUAGCUUAUCUGCAUGAUCGAGCUUUACGACGUGAACGAAGGUAUCGGGACCCUUUGGAUCCCAAAAAUAUAAGCGAUGAAAAUCUAAUUAGAUAUAGGUUUCCUCGAUGUGAAAUUCUAAGACUGUGUUAAGAUUUAGAUCCAUUUUUAAGGCGUAGAACGAGAAGAUCUCAUGCUGUUCCCAUACACACGCAAGUGUUAGUUGCCUUAAGAUUUUAUGCCAAUGGAACCUUUCAACAUGUACUUAGUGAUACAGCUGAGGCUGUAGCAGGGACAGGCCAAGCAGUCCGAGCCAAUGUAGUCCGUAAUUGGUUUACUUGAUGAAUUAAAAUCAAAUAUCAAUUCACCAAUACAAUUUUCCUCUAUGUUUAAAUAGUACUUUUUAGUGCAGUAUACAGAGGUAAUGCGAAUAAAGCGUACAUUGAUUUAACUUUUAUUUUCAAUAUUCUGUACAUAAAAAAAUAAACUUCUUUAUAGAAAUUAAA